GCUCCAGCCAAUGAAAUGUAAGCAGAAGUGACAUAUGCAGCAUGACCAGUGGAAGCUUCGAAGAGCUAUUGCCAAUUUCCACCCUCUCUCUGGAAACUGUCAUUAGGGUUAGGGAAACUGUCAUGAGAUCUGCAUAUUUUAGAUAGAGGCUGCUUGCCUUAUUUGGGCACCUAAUGAAAAAGACAUGGAGGCCAGGUGCGGUGGCUCAUGUCUGUAAUCCCAGCACUUUGGGAGGCCAAGGCGAGUGGAUCACCUGAGGUCAGGAGUUCGAGACCAGCCUGACCAACAUGGCAAAACCCCGUCUGUACUAAAAGUGCAAACACAAAGGGAACUGCGUGGCUUGUUUCUACCUGAACAUUGUCAAGUGAUUUCAUCCUUUGAAACACAGUUGUGAAGUGUGUCCAGCAGUCUGAGAACAAGAAGAAGAAGAAAAUCUAAUCCUUCAGGGUGUCUGUGUGCCAGCCCUGCUCUCAGCACUUCCCAUGUGGAACUCCUUUACUUCUCCUAACAACUCCAUGACAUGGGUUAGACUGUGAUUGUUCCCAUAUUGUUGGUAGGGAAACUGAGGCAUGCAGGUGUUACAGAGCUCUCUCAAGUGGCAAGCUUUCUGGGUGGUUACAGAGUGGCAGAGCUGGGGUAUCCCAUGAUGUCACCACACUGCUAUAUGGAAAAGAACAUUAAUCGAGCACCUACGUGCUUGAUUCUCUUAAUUCUGUGACUGAACUCUCAAAACACCCUGGGUAAGCACUAUCAUCUCCUAUUUUCACAAGUGAAAAAACUGGGAUUCAAAAAAAUUAAGUGACUUACCAAAUAUUACAGAGCUAGUAAGCCAAGACUUGAACACUGAGAUGGAAUUCUACCUUUUAAGGUGGCUAAGCAACAGAAGGAUGUUCCUUUCCCAAGGGGAGCACUGCGUGUUUUGAAAUAUACAAAUAGUGGGAAACGAAAUCUUUGUUCUGGAUGCAGUUAUAAUUUGGAAAGCGAGGAAAUAAAUUAUAACAAGGGGAAAAAACAGACACAGAGGGAUUGAAAUGCAUAACAAUAGAGAUGAAACACGAAGAGUGAUAAAUGAAGAUUGAGUGUGCACACCUUCUGGAGGAGCCCUGAUUGAGUAUUUUAAAAUACUACUAAAGUCAUGCCGUGUGACUUCUGAAGCUAGCUCCUAAGAAGUCCUUGCAGCUUCUGCCUGCGACUCUUAGAACACUUGCUUUGAAGGAUGCCAGAUGCUGUCUUAAAAGUCUGAGCACUCUGAAACCAUCAUGCUGUGAGGAAGCCCAAGCUAACCACAUGGGCAAAAAAGAUGCCCUCUGACUGCCACCAUUUGAGACACUCUAAUUAAGAACUGCCUCAUUGAGCCCAUGAGGCCCUGUGAAUGAUAAUAAUAAAUUGUUUUUAACCACUAUGUUUUUGGAUUUGUUAUAAGUUUAUAGAUAACAAGAAAAAGUUAUAUUAGCAUGGUAAUAAAAUUAUGGAUAUGUGUAA
rnacentral:lncRNA from 1 species